GAACUGAAGAGUUUGAUCAUGGCUCAGAUUGAACGCUGGCGGCAGGCCUAACACAUGCAAGUCGAGCGGUAGAGAGAAGCUUGCUUCUCUUGAGAGCGGCGGACGGGUGAGUAAUGCCUAGGAAUCUGCCUGGUAGUGGGGGAUAACGCUCGGAAACGGACGCUAAUACCGCAUACGUCCUACGGGAGAAAGCAGGGGACCU
rnacentral:rRNA from 1 species